GAUGAGGGUAAGGCUUUGCGGCAAGGUGGAGCGCUCCCCAAAUCUUGCGCGAAACGCGCAAGUCAAGAUAUGAAGUUGUGUGCAUACUGAGAACCAAUGAGGGUGUUUUUUGAACGACCCGCGGCUUGGCCCGCACUGUAUGUACGGAGCGCUACCAGGGGUCACGUAUAGUGUUCCCCUGUGGGCGCCUGUGCAGACUGAGAGCUAGCUUCUCAUCAACGCACCUCGCCCAGCGAGGCCCAAUGCAACAUCGCUCGACGAUGUCUGCAUCAGCUGACCUCCCUGUGAGUCUACCAGUCCUUGGUGGGACACAGCGAGGCGCAGCGCCAUAUC
rnacentral:misc_RNA from 1 species